UUACGGCCAUAUCACAUGGAAACAUUGGUUCUCGUAUGAUCUAUGAAGUUAAGCAAUGUUGAGCCAGGUCAGUACCUAGAUGGAUGACCACUUCUGAAUACCAGGUGUUGUAAG